AGUUCAAAUCAAGGAUCAAUGUUUUUUCCUGGCUAAAUAAUUUUUUGGAGAUUUAAGGUGAAAAAUCCUACCAGUUUUAUUGCUCUACGCUUGCAUUGGAUUGUGGUAAAAGACUGCUGGUCUUUUGUUUCUGGCUUCAUUACUGUCAACAUAUAUGUAUACCUUGUCUAAAUUUUGCAUGCACGUGGUUUUUGAAUGGGUCCUACAUCGUUCUUCAACUGGAAGAUGCGAACACAUUCAAACAAAUAAAAAUGGCCAACACAGCUGCAUUGGGUUCAUAUCAAAACGCCAACCUAUAAUCCGUGCAAUGAGAACUAAAAAUGCAAAAUUCAUUGGGACUGCAAUCAGUGAAAUACCGAAGAUAAAGAGACACAACAAUAUGCGGUCUAUACGAAAUGGUAGAGUGAAUUUAAAAUUUAGUAAAAAAAGGAUUCAUAUCCUCCGAAAAAUCAUCUGAAAUGUUUCAUAUACAUACUUAAAUCACAGGUAUCGUUUUAUGCAAUAGCGAGUAACAACAUUGCGCAACAGCCAAUCUGGGGGUUGGAAAGUUCUAAGUGGAUAAUAUACGGUUAGUAGAUCAACAUCUCAAAAAGGGUUUUGGGUUACCAAGCUAAUUUUUUUAGAGUCCAUUAUAUAUAGCCUUAACCAUACACAAAGGUUCUAAAAUAUUUUGCUCUACACUUCGCAAAAUUUACGAUAGAGUUUUAAAUUUGAUACAAUACAAUGGGUUACAUUUAGUUCUACAAAAUGUGGGCCACUUAUUUCGACAAAUAUUCGUAACUUGAGUAUUUAGAAAGAAGAAAAUAUACUUUCAAUUUUAUAAAAAUAUAAAAAAGUAUGCCUUGUGUGUAAUUUCACUGAAAAGUUAUAAUAUUUGUUGGCAAUUUAACAAUGUGUAAUACAAAAUAUUUAAUGAGUUCCAGUAAUUUAUAGAUACAAGUACAUAAAAAAAUAAUAAUUUAUAAAAACGACAAUAAAAUUAUUAAUUUACAAAUCUUAAUGACUAAUGUAUCAAACGCGAUUUAUUAUUAAGGCUCAGUUUAUCUAAGGCGACACUAAAACUAAUUCUAAAUGAUAAACCAAUUUCUUGCUUUUUAUACCCUCCACCAUAGUAUGGAGCGUAUAUUAAGUUUGUCAUUCCGUUUGUAGCACCUCGAAAUAUACAUUUUCGACCCCACAAAGUAUAUAUAUUCCUGAUCAGCAUAAAAUUCUAUGUUUCGUUGCAGAAAUAUCCAUUCAUAAUCUUGGAUGGUUGCUUAUUUGCACCUAAAUUGUAAGUCAGAAAAAAUGUUUAAAUAAAUAUUACACCAAUUUUACAUAUUUUUUUUUUCUUUACCAGUAUGUUUUUUUUUUUUUUGAGCGGCACCAAUCUCUGUAGCCCUGUAGAAAGAAAUUAAAAAUAAAAGAGACAUAUUUAAUAAGGAAUAAAGGAAUAAAUUGUUAUUUGUUUACAAAAAUUGCCAAA